GGGCCAUUUCACAUUGAAACACUGGUUCUCGUAUCAUCACCGUAGUUAAGCAACGUCGAGCCUAAGCAGUUCUGAGAUGAGAGACCGCUUGGGAAUACCAGAUGCGGUAA